GAGAGGCAGGCGUGCAAUAACAGCGGAGGCAGCGAUCGGCGGCACGGAUUACGUCAAGUGGCUGCUGUGGCCUUGUCCUAAUGGCAAGUUCGUUCACCCUACGGCUGGCCUUGUGUCACUACUCGCUAACUCCGACUCUGCAUCCUCCACCCUUCCACUCAUUCUCCUGACAGCACCCGCAAAACUGGGUCAACAAUAUAAUAAACUAACUAUGGUGGAAAUUAUAAUUGGGAAGAAGAGAAAUAUUUAAACGGUGUUUGAAUGAACCUGCGAGUUUAUCCAUUCCAUCCAGUUCAAAGAUUAAAAGUUACGACUUGAGCUACCGAACUCACUCAACAACAAUGGACUGCGCAGCGGCCAAGCGACAACUAUAAGAGGAAUAUUUUAACUGCCGUGUAAAGGAACACACAAUCGAAUUCCGUCCACGUACAAGACAAGCAGGUGCAUUAACGGUGAAAAUUGGGUGCAGGAACAAGGAAGCAGUUUUGGGCACGCCCCAGGGAACCCCUUUUUCUCCCGCGUCUUGAGUGCGUCUCUAAACUCAUCUUUCUGGUACACUAACCCUGCAGAGCCCCGAAAUCGACGCGGAAGCAGGGAAACGCAACUUUGAGACGUCGGCCCACACGCACAAGACGCUCCCUAAUGGAGUGACGACUUUGCUUAUCUACGCCAAGAAGACUAAUUGGAAAUCACAUUAUGGCCAGCAAGGGUGCGUGGGCGGUAAUGCGAUCGCCACAUGAUACCACCAAUUUUUUGCUCAGACAGAAAAAUCCUUUGAAAAAAAAAAUGUUAUUUCCAGAUUGGGUUUAUCUGCGAAAUGCAUCAAAGUGCAUUUGCAUAAUAUGUAGAUGGUUUUCGCGACGUGUUGGCCAUAGGAGUUCGUUCCUCCCAGCAUUUGGACUUGCUCGAGGAAUUCCUCUGGCUUGAACUUCCGCAAGAGUGUGAUAACGAGCUUUGAAAUGCUUGAUCAACGU